rnacentral:rRNA from 1 species
UAACAAGGAUUCCCCUAGUAACGGCGAGUGAAGAGGGAAGAGCUCAAAUUUAAAAUCUGGCGGUCUACGGCCGUCCGAGUUGUAAUCUAGAGAGGUGUUUUCCGUGCCGGACCGUGUACAAGUCCCUUGGAACAGGGCGUCAUAGAGGGUGAGAAUCCCGUCCAUGACACGGACUCCCGGUGCACUGUGAUACGCCUUCGAAGAGUCGAGUUGUUUGGGAAUGCAGCUCAAAAUGGGUGGUAAAUUCCAUCUAAAGCUAAAUACAGGCGAGAGACCGAUAGCGAACAAGUACCGUGAGGGAAAGAUGAAAAGAACUUUGGAAAGAGAGUUAAACAGUACGUGAAAUUGUUGAAAGGGAAACGCUUGAAGUCAGUCGCGUCCGCAGGGACUCAGCCUUGCUUUUGCUUGGUGUACUUCUCUGUGGAUGGGCCAGCAUCGAUUUUAGUCGCCGGAAAAGGGCGGGAGGAAUGUGGCAGCUUGCUGUGUUAUAGCCUCUCGUCGUACACGGUGGCCGGGAUCGAGGACUGCAGCACGCCUUUUGGUCGGGGUUCGCCCACGCCACGUGCUUAGGAUGCUGGCGUAAUGGCUUUAAACGAC